rnacentral:lncRNA from 1 species
CAGAAAGAAUACAUUUAUGGAGAGGCCGUACUAAAAAAGAAAGAUAAAUCAUGGAAUAAUUUAAAAAUCCUUAUUUCAUGUUGCUUAAAUAUGUUCCCUUUAAAGCUCCACAUUUAUUAUCUAAAUCAGAUGUAAGCUCUUAGCUACUGUUCCAGCAUCAUGCCUGCCUGCUUGAUAUGUUGUUCCCCACCAUGGUGAUCUUGGACUAACCCUCUGAAACUAGAGACUCUCCAAGAUUGUUUUCUCCUGAUGUUCAUAUCUUGUACCAUGCUUCCAUGCAAUCAUGAACUGUGAUUUGAUGGGAACAACUUACUCAUGGACACCUUGCUGGAAUGUUAAAGAAGAGUGAGAUGAGAGUGCAUGGGAGCUUGGCAGACACAUGUGGUCACCAUGGUGUUUGGUGGAUACUGAAAAACAGAAAAUGAGUGUAACAAGGUUUUUGGAAGGCUAUGGAUCUGGAAAAGGAGAAUUGUUUGUCUAAAGACUAUACCUGGAGCAGAGAAGAAAAGUUUUGACAUCAAGGCAAAAAAUGGAACUAGAAAAUAUCAUUCUGCGUGAGAUAACCCAGACCCAAAAGGACACACAAGACUAUGAAUAUAGUCGAAAGAU